GCACUUUCCUCUCCUACCUCGAGCGUUCCAGGCCGUGCCGCGCAACGUACACGAAUAUUCGCGCAGGGGAUAUCAUGCCAACGAGAUCAACUGGGUCGUCAAGAUGCAGGAGUACGUAGAAGGGUGGCUUGACGCACGUGAGGAUGUGUGGGACGAGGGGUAGCCACACACGAAGGCGUCAUACGCCGCAUACCUCCGCUGGUACCUCCUUCGCACGCGUCCGUACGUCACUCUUUCACGCAUUGAUGACGCGGAGCAUCAGCACCAGCCGACCAUCUCGGACACGUAUCCCUCGUACCGUGAUCAGGAGCACCGUGGCGCGAUUGAUCUGAUCAACUACGCGGAGGUCGAAGCUACAUCUCAGAUCACGUUGCUUGAACGUGGAGUACGUGUACGAGAGUCACAGUACAAGGACACCUUGUGUAAGAUUCAAGACAACUUGACGCGAGAGUUACGUGCACUGACGUGUCGCGGCAGAGACGACGUGGGGGCCUCUAGUUCAUCUCAUGCGUCGGCCCAUGUGUACAUAGCUGGC